rnacentral:tRNA from 1 species
GGGAAUGUGGCUCAGUGGUAGAGUGCUUGCCUAGUGUGCAUGAAGCUCUGGGUUCGAUUCCUCAAUACCA